UGGGGAAUUUUGGACAAUGGGCGAAAGCCUGAUCCAGCAAUGCCGCGUGUGUGAAGAAGGCCUUCGGGUUGUAAAGCACUUUUGUCCGGAAAGAAAUCCUCUGGGUUAAUACCUCGGGGGGAUGACGGUACCGGAAGAAUAAGCACCGGCUAACUACGUGCCAGCAGCCGCGGUAAUACGUAGGGUGCAAGCGUUAAUCGGAAUUACUGGGCGUAAAGCGUGCGCAGGCGGUUUUGUAAGACGGAUGUGAAAUCCCCGGGCUUAACCUGGGAACUGCAUUCGUGACUGCAAGGCUAGAGUAUGGCAGAGGGGGGUUAGAAUUCCACGUGUAGCAGUGAAAUGCGUAGAGAUGUGGAGGAAUACCGAUGGCGAAGGCAGCCCCCUGGGCCAAUACUGACGCUCAUGCACGAAAGCGUGGGGAGCAAACAGGAUUAGAUACCCUGGUAGUCCACGCCCUAAACGAUGUCAACUAGUUGUUGGGGAUUCAUUUCCUUAGUAACGCAGCUAACGCGUGAAGUUGACCGCCUGGGGAGUACGGUCGCAAGAUUAAAACUUAAAGGAAUUGAC
rnacentral:rRNA from 1 species